UACGAAGGGGGCUAGCGUUGCUCGGAAUCACUGGGCGUAAAGCGCACGUAGGCGGAUUGCUAAGUCAGGGGUGAAAUCCUGGAGCUCAACUCCAGAACUGCCUUUGAUACUGGCAACCUUGAGUCCGGGAGAGGUGAGUGGAACUGCGAGUGUAGAGGUGAAAUUCGUAGAUAUUCGCAAGAACACCAGUGGCGAAGGUGGCUCACUGGCCCGGUACUGACGCUGAGGUGCGAAAGCGUGGGGAGCAAACAGG
rnacentral:rRNA from 1 species